UGAGGAAUAGCUGGGUCAAAUGGUGGUUCCAGUCCCAGGUUUCCAAGGAAUCUCCAUACUGCUCUCCAAAUUGGCUGCACCAAUUUGCAGUCCCACCAGCAAU
rnacentral:pre_miRNA from 1 species